UAAAGAGCGGGAAAGAGGCUUGGCAGCGGCACGUGCCGCUGCGUUUUAUCUCAUCACUCGGGAGCACAGAGCUGGGUUUGUGGCGUGCGGCGGCGGCCCCGGGUCUUCUCCUGUCCUGACGUCACCAGGUCAUGUGACUGUACGGCAGUCAUGGCGGCGGAGAUGUCCCAAUCGUAGUUGCCAAUUCAGCUUAUAACAAGCAAAAUUGGGCUUGUUUUUUUGUUCAAGUUGCUGUAUUUUAUUGGUUGUUGCUUGUUUUUGGGCUUAUAAUUUUUUUUUGGGGGGGGGCUUUUUUUUUUUUUCCAUUUUAUUUUUUUUAAAGUUACCACUGGCACCGACCUUCAGAGGUAGAUACUCAACACAGAUACCCACAAAGACAUAGCUCCUGUGACUCAGUUCUACAAGAGACCUGCACCAAUUACCAUCGUGACUCCUGCAGUGUUCCAGCUCUGCUUCCUGGCUUUCUACUGCGGUCCUGGCAUCGGCUUCCAGCGUUGGUUCUAGUCUGCCUCCAGCUUCCAGCUGUGUCCUGGUAUCGUUAUUUCUUCCAUUAUCUACGGCAUCGCUCACUAGCUUCUAUGGUAAAGUGUCACUGGCUUCCAGCGUGUCACUUACAUCAGGCUCCAGGAGGUGUUUGUUAAGCUCAUAUGGAUGCCAUACAAAAGAAAAUAUAAUAUAAUAUAUAGUGACGUACAGUUUUAAUCAUCCAUCAAACAAAGUACAAUACAGUAACAAUAGACAUUGAUUAAAAACAUCCCAUAUUUGGCAUAAAAAAUAGCAGCAAUAGUUUGAAUGGCUCAAUGGCAUGGACUGAAUUGAGAGAAGCAAUGGAAAAUUACCAGAGUAAUUGAACUACAAAAGCAGUUCAAAAACAGCUUGCGGGUUUUGGUGGAACAGGGGAACCCGGAAAUCCCCUAUACCUCGCUGCACUGCACUGGUCAGUCCUCCGGCACUCCUCAGCUCACAGUCCUGUAUCCACCAACGAGUACUCUUCUUCUAAGUGGCGUCACGUCACUUCCGGUGAAAGAGGCUACAGGGCAAGCACAACGGCAAGCUGCUGCUGCUGGGAGUCCCAACCUGUCCCCUUCUGAGCCCCCCUCCCCUUCUCACACCCAUUCCCCCUCUCCUUCCCAGUCCCCUUCUCAGCCCCCCUCCCCUUCUCACACCCAUUCCCCCUCUCCUUUCCAGUCCCCUUCUCAGCCCCCCUCCCCUUCUCACACCCAUUCCCCCUCUCCUUCCCAGUCCCCUUCUCAGCCCCCUCCCCUUCUCACACCCAUUCCCCCUCUCCUUCCCAGUCUCCUUCUCAGCCCCCCUCCCCUUCUGUCGCCCAAUCCCCCUCUCCUUCCCAGUCCCCUUCUCAGCCCCCCACCCCUUCUGUUGCCCAAUCCCCCUCUCCUCCCCAGUCCCCUUCUCAGCCCCCCUCCCCUUCUGUCGCCCAAUCCCCCUCUCCUUCCCAGUCCCCUUCUCAGCCCCCCUCCCCUUCUGUUUACCAAUACCCCUCUCUGUCCCCCUCCACCUCUGUUGGCCAAAACACCUCUCCGCCCACCUCACCCUCUCUUUCCCAUUCCCCCUCUCUGUCACCCAACCCACCUCUCCACCACCCUCCCCCUCUCAAUCUGACCCACCCUCUGUACCAAGCUCCCCCUUCCAGCCUCCUUCCCCCAUCCAGCCUCCUACCCCCAUCCAGCCUCCUACCCCCAACCAGCCUCCUUCCCCACCUUCAGAAUGGGCAGCAGAGACCCCGGAGGCACUUCUGGGAGGAGAUCAAGUGCCACAGGACAAUGUUGCAGUUGGAGAUCCCACUACUUUUAGGGGCAUUAUUACCACUAUGUGCCAACACAUGCAGGGAUUAUUGAGGAGUGUGGAGCAGCUUGAAAAGUUUUCAUAAUUUUAAAUUUUUAACAUUUUAUUUUUGUUUAAAAAA